AGCCAAGCAUGGUGACUCAUCACGCCUUUAAUCCCAGAAAGCGAGCCUUUAAUCCCAGGGAGUGGUGGAAGAAAGGAAAGAUCUAUAAGGCGCGAAGACCAGAAAAUAGAAGCAUUUGGCUGGUUAAGCUUUUAGCCUGGUUAAGCAUUCA